GCAUGUCUCUGUGGCGCAAUCGGUUA
rnacentral:piRNA from 1 species